rnacentral:rRNA from 1 species
GCCUAACACAUGCAAGUCGAGCGGAUGAAGGGAGCUUGCUCCCUGAUUUAGCGGCGGACGGGUGAGUAAUGCCUAGGAAUCUGCCUGGUAGUGGGGGAUAACGUUCCGAAAGGAACGCUAAUACCGCAUACGUCCUACGGGAGAAAGCAGGGGACCUUCGGGCCUUGCGCUAUCAGAUGAGCCUAGGUCGGAUUAGCUAGUUGGUGAGGUAAUGGCUCACCAAGGCGACGAUCCGUAACUGGUCUGAGGGGAUGAUCAGUCACACUGGAACUGAGACACGGUCCAGACUCCUACGGGAGGCAGCAGUGGGGAAUAUUGGACAAUGGGCGAAAGCCUGAUCCAGCCAUGCCGCGUGUGUGAAGAAGGUCUUCGGAUUGUAAAGCACUUUAAGUUGGGAGGAAGGGCAUUAACCUAAUACGUUAGUGUUUUGACGUUACCGACAGAAUAAGCACCGGCUAACUUCGUGCCAGCAGCCGCGGUAAUACGAAGGGUGCAAGCGUUAAUCGGAAUUACUGGGCGUAAAGCGCGCGUAGGUGGUUCGUUAAGUUGGAUGUGAUAGCCCCGGGCUCAACCUGGAAACUGCAUCCAAAACUGGCGAGCUAGAGUACGGUAGAGGGUGGUGGAAUUUCCUGUGUAGCGGUGAAAUGCGU